rnacentral:rRNA from 1 species
UGUAAGCGUAUACCAAAGUUGUUGCAGUUAAAACGCUCGUAGUCGGAAUUUGGCAGUUCCGGAUGUGUGCACGUCGUGUGCGCACUUCGCGGGGAUUGCUUUUGUGGUCUUGCGUAGGAUGAGGCACUUUUAUUAGUGAACGUCCUCACGCAACCACUUUUUACUGUGAGAAAAUCAGAGUGCUCAAAGCAGGCAUUUGCCGUGAAUGUAUAGCAUGGAAUAAUAGAAUAGGACUUGGUUCUAUUUUGUUGGUUUGUUGGGACUGAGUAAUGAUUAAGAGGGACAGUUGGGGGCAUUUGUAUUUCGGCGCUAGAGGUGAAAUUCUUAGAUUGCCGAAAGACAAACUGCUGCGAAAGCGUCUGCCAAGGAUGUUUUCAUUGA